ensembl:lncRNA
UGGAAUUACAGGCGUGAGCCACCGUGUCUGGACCCCAAAAGCAGUUUUUGCUAAAGCAAAACAAACUUCCUUGAUUCAGACGAUCAACUCUACCAUAUUCAUCCGUUAUUCUCACCUAUCGUCAAACAUUUCACAAAAGCUGUGGUAUAGACCAUCAGCUUAACGCAGUAUGUAAUCAGAUAGAUAAGUUAACACACACAUAAGGAGAAAAGUCGUUCUCACACGAGGUCUUCCAUGCAAUGUAGAAAUUCUUUAGCUUUCUCAGGUAAAAAAUAUUGCUGAGAACAGAAAGUUCUGGAAGGCAGUUCAUAGAGCCCUCAGGCCGAUCAUUACUUGGAUAGCAAUUUUCUCAGGUGUGGAUAAUUAGCUGUAGCUGAAAAGGCAAAAGUAUGUCCCCCAGCAAGCAGGAACAAACCUAGCAUUCGUCUUAAUUUGCAAAAGGUUUCUAAUAGCAGCAUUUUUAAUUGCCAGACCAAAUAUCUAGCAGCUGCCACCAGCCCAGGUCCUGAGGCUGGAAUGCAGCCUGACUAUUAAUUUACUGAAAGCCUGGCAAAACAAAGUUGUAUGCUGGUUUCUCCAGAAAAGUCUCCUCUUUCAAUAACAGAUCUUCCUCGGGCUUCCUAACCUCUUCCCAGGGUCUCAGUGAAGACAGAAGAAACAAAAGCGUCACUGUGGAUCCCAUCACAGCAUUGUCGAGAGACCUAUCACUGCCUGCCACCAGAGAGCCAAAGCUUCAUCUUGUCAAAAGCUCAAAAGCCCUGGGAUUUUCCAUUCUUCCUAUCUGUCAUUGUGAAGACACGCACACACUCAUUAUGUUGCAAGCAAUUUGUCAACAUUAUUAUUGACAAUGUAAACUGAUCAAACUUCUACGACAGACAUCUUGGAAAGAAGAAAAUGAUCGGGCAUUGUGGUCCAAACUGAUACUGUUCCAAAAAAACCAAACAGUUUUUAAUGACCUGGAACGUUGCAGACUGUGAAGCAAGUCAUUACUGCCUGUGAGGCAGAGCUGGACGUAGAAAUGGCAGUGCUCAAAAGAAGAGAUGUUUAUCUAUUUCAUUGUUCUAGGCAAAACAAUCUGCAUAAUUGAAUUUGCUGUUACCCCAGGUUUGUGACAGCACUAUAUGUAGAAAUAAAGGAGGUGUCUCCUAUAGACGGAUUUAUUCAUGAAAACAUAAAAAAAAGUUCGUUACAAAUCAAUGUACUGUUUAGAUUUCCAGUGCCUGAAAUUCUACUAUUAUAGUCAAUCCUUAUAGUCUUUUUUUUUUUUUUUUUUUUUUGAGACGGAGUUUUGCUCCUGUUACCCAGGCUGGAGUGCAAUGAUGUGAUCUCUGCUCACCACAACCUCCGCCUCCUGGGUUCAGGCAAUUUCCCUGCCUCAGCCUCCCAAGUAGCUGGGAUUACAGGCAUGCGCCACCGUGUCUGGCCCUAUAGCCAAUCCUUAUAGUCUUUUUUUACCAGAAACUAACCAACUGAUCAACAACUUGAUAGGGUUUUAAAAAAUGAAAUGAAGUCCUUUUGUGACUUGGGAAAGAACAGAAUGGAGGAGGUAUGAGAAAGGAGUUACAGAUGUUAGAAGAUGGCGAAAGAUGGGGUGAUUUCAGUUUAGGGUCAACAGCCUCCAGUCAGUAAAUGGAG